rnacentral:rRNA from 1 species
UACGUAGGGUGCGAGCGUUGUCCGGAAUUAUUGGGCGUAAAGGGCUCGUAGGCGGUUUGUCGCGUCGGGAGUGAAAACCUCGGGCUUAACUCGGGGCUUGCUUUCGAUACGGGCAGACUGGAGGUAUGCAGGGGAGAACGGAAUUCCUGGUGUAGCGGUGAAAUGCGCAGAUAUCAGGAGGAACACCGGUGGCGAAGGCGGUUCUCUGGGCCGAUACUGACGCUGAGGAGCGAAAGCGUGGGGAGCGAACAGG